UACAGAGACUGCAAGCGUUAUUCGGAUUCACUGGGCGUAAAGGGUGCGCAGGCGGCCGUGUGUGCCAGGUGUGAAAGCCCGGAGCUUAACUCCGGAAUUGCGCCUGAAACUACAUGGCUAGAGCAUUGGAGAGGGUAGCGGAAUUCACGGUGUAGCAGUGAAAUGCGUAGAUAUCGUGAGGAACACCAGAGGCGAAGGCGGCUACCUGGACAAUUGCUGACGCUCAGGCACGAAAGCGUGGGGAGCAAAAGGG
rnacentral:rRNA from 1 species